AUGAGGUAGCCAACACUGUUUUUUUUAUAUAUAUAUAUAUAUAUAUAUAUAUUUUAAUUGGGGUAGCCCCCAAAAUAUUGGGACAUAUAAAAAAAGACAACUCUGUUCCGCAGAGUAGCUGUUGACAUUAUAGUUGCGCAGGCACUUUGUUGACUUUAGAGAACCUCGGGCUAAUCGCACAUCCCCGUGACGGCGACUUUGCAUUUGGAUGUCAUCCAUAUCAACUUUCGAUGCCAGUUUCGGCGCCUACCAUGGUGACCACGGGUAACGGGGAAUCAGGGUUCCAUUCCGUACAGGGACCCUGAGAAACGACUACCACAUGCAAGGAAGGCAGCAGGCGCGCAAAUGACCCACUUCCGACGCGGGAAGUUAGAGA
rnacentral:rRNA from 1 species